rnacentral:rRNA from 1 species
CAGUCGCCGCGGGAAUACGUAGGUGGCAAGCGUUGUUCGGAUUUACUGGGCGUAAAGGGCGCGUAGGCGGACUGAUAAGUCAGGGGUGAAAUCCCAAGGCUCAACCUUGGAACUGCCUUUGAUACUGUUUGUCUUGAGUUCGAGAGAGGUAAGUGGAACUGCGAGUGUAGAGGUGAAAUUCGUAGAUAUUCGCAAGAACACCAGUGGCGAAGGCGGCUUACUGGCUCGAAACUGACGCUGAGGCGCGAAAGCGUGGGGAGCAAACAGGAUUAGAUACCCCGGUAGUCCCUGUCUCUUAUAC